GGGGAAGUAGCUCAGCUGGGAGAGCAUCCCGUUCGCAGCGGGAAGGUCGAGGGUUCAAAUCCCUUCUUCUCCA
rnacentral:tRNA from 1 species